rnacentral:tRNA from 1 species
GCUGGUGUAGCACAACUGGCAGUGCGGCAGGCUUAUACCCUGCAAGCCCUAGAUGGGGGCGCGAUCAAGGUUCGAAUCCUUGCACCAGCA